ensembl:lncRNA
CUGGAUUUGAAUCCCAUCAUCCAGGUGGGAACUCGACCAGAUCCCAGGGAGCUUGUCAGGUCAUCCACUGUCUGUUUCUGGCGCCACUUUAUUACUAGCUCUCUUGCUGGGCAGCCCACAGCAAAGAUAUUUAAAUAUACGUCUCCAGAUACUCCCAGCCAACCCCUUCUUUUUCUAGGUGAGGCCAGAGGGAGUGACAGGGGACAUAUCCUCGGGGUGCCCAACAAGGGUGGUGCUUCCUGCAUCAGGCACCUCCGGGAGGCAGUGAGUUCCUUCAGGGACUUUCCGCUGAUGUCAUGGGUGCCAUUGGUGUUGCAGGUGUCACAGGUGGUGUGGUUGUCCUGUGUGCCGUGGGUUCUGUGAGUGUUGUGGGUGACGUGGGUGCCACGGGUGACACUGGUGUCAUGGGUGCCCCUGGUGUGAUGUGUGUCACAGUUGCCAUGGGUGCCAUCUGUGUCGCUGGCACCCCUGGUGUCACGGGUGACGUUAGUAGCAUGAGUAUCCUGGGUGCUAUGGUCACCACUGGUGUCACUGGUGACACUGGUGUCACAGGUAUCUCGGUUGCCAUGGGUGUCAUGUAUGUUGCAGUCCCCAGUGGUGUCCUGGUGCUCAGGGCAUCAUAGGUGACGCCGAUGUCACAGGUGUGGCUGUUGUCAGGUCCCUCUUGUGUCAUGGGUGCCACAGGCGUCAUGGGUGAGGCUGGUGCUGCUGGUAUCAUAGCUGUCAUGGGUUCAUUGGCGUCACGGGCUUCACUGAAGUCAUGGAUGAUGCUGGUGUCACAGGUGAGGCAGAUGUCAUGGGUGACACUGGUGUCACGGGUACUGUGGGUGCCACGGGUGACAUCUGUGUUGCAGGCACCUGCGGUGUCCUAGGUGACUAGGGCGUCGCAGGUGAGGUUGGUGUCACGGGUGUGGCUGGUGAACACGGAAGCCCCUGAUGUCACGGGUGCCGCUGGUGUCAUGAGUUCCUGUGGUGUCCUGUGUGCUGCAGGUGUCACAGGCGAGGCUGGUACCACUGGUUUCACAGCUGUCGCAGGUGCUGCUGGUGUCACGGGUGCCUGUGGUGUCACGGGUGAGGCAGGUGUUACUGGUGAUGCAGGUUAUCGUGGGUGUCAUGG